rnacentral:lncRNA from 1 species
AUGCCCAGGCUCCCACCCAUCUCUCUGUGUCCCUGCAGCCGGCCCAGGCCGUGGCCGGGCGCAGAGGGCACCGUGCACCCCACGGGCCCUGGCGGAGACACCCCUGGGUGCACCCCAGGAUUUUUUUGGGGGGAAAAAGACUGCACCCACGGGCACACGACGGGGGGUUCGCCGGCGGGGAGCGGGGCUGGGGCUGCAGGCAGCCCGGCGGAGCCGAGCUGCGGCGAUGUGGCCGGUAUGUGUGUGGGCGGCAGGCAGGGUGGGGGAGAAGGAGGGAGAGGAAGCGGCAGAGGCAGCAGCUCCUUUGAUAAGCAGCUUCCUGAACACUUUCAAACCCUGGUGUUAGACCGACACGCGCGGCACCCGCGGCCCUGUGCCGGCCCGGACGGAGCCCAUGCCUCGGGGCAGCAGGUAGGCAGCCCCCGGCCCGCGGGCGCAGUGCCGAUGGUCCCGUGCCACCCUUCGGAGAGGGGACCCCCACGGGCAGCUCCAGGCCCUGGUGACUAUGUGCCCUGGGCAUGUGCUCGCCCGCAGGCAGCGCAGGUGCCCGGGGCAGGGUUGGGAUGCUGGUGGGGAGGUGGGGAUGCUCUCCGUGCAGGUGCAGGGAGCCGAGGCUCUUCCCAAGGUCCUGCUGUGUGCCAGGGGCUUGCUGAGGCAUCUCCCUGGUGUUUCGUGGCUGGUGUGCAAGGGGCGGUGUUGGGGUCGCAGCCUGCUGCUCCCGGCACCGGGGGAAAAUGCAGGAUCUGCUGGGAUCAGCCCGUGGUGCCUCGGUUCCCGGGGAGCUCCUGCCCUGCCCGAACGGGGAGCACCCCACAGCACGGGGCACGGGGACGGUGCAUGUGGCGGUGGUGGCACUGCCACCAUGUGAACGCUCAUCCCUCCAGGCCAGGAAUGCUGCUGGGCAGCGGGGAGUCCCGGGGAACAGCUCCUGCCCCGGCCACAUUCCCAAAAUUCACGGCCGUGGCCACGCUGGGGUCUUCCCUGACCUCAUACACCCGCUGGGACCCCGGGGUCUGGCUCUCCACAGGGACCCCUGGGAGCUGCUGGGGUAUUUGGGACCCAGCUCUGUGCCCACUGCUCUGA